UACGAAGGGGGCUAGCGUUGCUCGGAAUCACUGGGCGUAAAGCGCACGUGGGCGGAUUGUUAAGUCGGGGGUGAAAUCCUGGAGCUCAACUCCAGAACUGCCUUCGAUACUGGCGAUCUUGAGUCCGGGAGAGGUGAGUGGAACUCCGAGUGUAGAGGUGAAAUUCGUAGAUAUUCGGAAGAACACCAGUGGCGAAGGCGGCUCACUGGCCCGGUACUGACGCUGAGGUGCGAAAGCGUGGGGAGCAAACAGG
rnacentral:rRNA from 1 species